rnacentral:rRNA from 1 species
CGGCAGGCCUUAUACAUGCAAGUCGAGGGGCAGCAUUUACUUCGGUAAAUGGCGACCGGCGCACGGGUGAGUAACGCGUAUGCAACCUACCUUUAACUGGGGCAUAGCUCGAGGAAACUCGAAUUAAUUCCCCAUGGUACAAUACAUUAUCGCAUGAUAUAAUUGUUAAAGAUUUAUCGGUUAAAGAUGGGCAUGCGUCUGAUUAGCUUGUUGGUAAGGUAACGGCUUACCAAGGCAACGAUCAGUAGGGGGUCUGAGAGGAUGAUCCCCCACACUGGUACUGAGACACGGACCAGACGUCUACGGACGGCAGCAGUAAGGAAUAUUGGGCAAUGGGCGCAAGCCUGACCCAGCCAUGCCGCGUGCAGGAUGACGACCCUAUGGGUUGUAAACUGCUUUUAUAUAGGAAGAAAAUACUCUUGCGAGAGGAUCUGACGGUACUAUAUGAAUAAGGACCGG